UACGAAGGGGGCUAGCGUUGUUCGGAAUUACUGGGCGUAAAGCGCGCGUAGGCGGCUUUGCAAGCCAGAGGUGAAAUGCCUGAGCUCAACUUGGGAAUUGCCUUUGGGACUGUGAGGCUUUGAGGACUGGAGAGGUGAGUGGAAUUCCCAGUGUAGAGGUGAAAUUCGUAGAUAUUGGGAAGAACACCGGUGGCGAAGGCGGCUCACUGGUCAGUUUCUGACGCUGCAGCGCGAAAGCGUGGGGAUCAAACAGG
rnacentral:rRNA from 1 species